rnacentral:rRNA from 1 species
CCUACGGGAGGCGGCAGUAAGGAAUAUUGGACAAUGGAGGCAACUCUGAUCCAGCCAUGCCGCGUGAAGGAUGAAGGCGCUCAGCGUUGUAAACUUCUUUUGGAUGGGAACAAAAACUCCGAUGCGUCGGAGCCUGAGGGUACCAUCAGAAUAAGCACCGGCUAACUCCGUGCCAGCAGCCGCGGUAAUACGGAGGGUGCAAGCGUUAUCCGGAAUCACUGGGUUUAAAGGGUGCGUAGGCGGCUCGAUAAGUCAGUCGUGAAAUUCCCCGGNUUAACCGGCGGGACUGCGAUUGAUACUGUUGAACUUGAAUCAGGUUGAGGUAGGCGGAAUGUGGCAUGUAGCGGUGAAAUGCUUAGAUAUGCCAUAGAACACCGAUUGCGAAGGCAGCUUGCUGGACCUGUAUUGACGCUGAGGCACGAAAGCGUGGGGAGCAAAACGAGGUAUUAGACUACCCGUGGUACGUCCCGUACCGACCCGUAACCGUACGUAGUUUACGUUUCGUCGUGUGUCGGUCGUUCGGUAGUUGUCGUGGCGGACGGACGGAACGGACGACGUAACGUAAACCGUAACCGUAACGGGGUAGGUACGGUUACCGGACCGUAACGGUUAGGUUAAACGUACGAACGGAAGUUAGGACGGGACGUUGAGACGNGACGACGGACGACGACGAGGGAGGAGG